rnacentral:rRNA from 1 species
AAAUUCNGUAACAAGGGUUCCCUUUUUGAACCUGCGGAAGGAGCAUUAACGAUCAAAAGAAACGGGUUGUAGCUGGGCUCAAGGGAUGGGCACACCCUGGUCAAUUCCACUCUUCUACCCCUGGGCACUUAUUGGAGGCUUGGUGGGAUGACCAACCACUUGUGGGUUGGUUUGAAAGCCUUGUCUAUGUUUUAUUACAAACGCUUUAGUCAAAGAAUGUAACCAUUGGGUUUAACGCAAUAAAUACAACUUUCAGCAACGGAUCUCUUGGCUCUCGCAUCGAUGAAGAACGCAGCGAAAUGCGAUAAGUAAUGUGAAUUGCAGAAUUCAGUGAAUCAUCGAAUCUUUGAACGCACCUUGCGCUCCUUGGUAUUCCGAGGAGCAUGCCUGUUUGAGUGUCAUGGUAUUCUCAACUUCUAAAGCUUUUUUGCGAUGGAAAGUUGGACUUGGAGGCUUGUGUUGGCUUGCCAAAGUUGACUCCUCUGAAAUGCAUUAGUGUGAACCUUACGGAUCGCCUUCAGUGUGAUAAUUGUCUACGCUGUGGUGUUGAAGUAUAACAGUGUUCGUGCUUCUAACUGUCCGUAACGGACAACAUAACUUUGACAAUCUGACCUCAAAUCAGGUAGGACUACCCGCUGAACUUAAGCAUAUCAAUAA